UAGGUAGGUGGUUACGUAUGUCUGGGGUGAAAUCCCUGAGCUCAACUCAGGACGUGCCUUGGAAACGGCGUAACUAGAGUACUAGAGAGGUUCGUGGAAUUCCAGGUGUAGCGGUGAAAUGCGUAGAGAUCUGGAGGAACAUCAGCGGCGAAGGCGACGAACUGGAUAGUAACUGACACUGAACUACGAAAGCGUGGGGAGCAAACA
rnacentral:rRNA from 1 species